GAGUUUGAUCAUGGCUCAGGACGAACGCUGGCGGCGUGCUUAACACAUGCAAGUCGAACGGAAAGGCCCUCACCUUGGUGGGGGUGCUCGAGUGGCGAACGGGUGAGUAACACGUGGGUGAUCUGCCCUGUACUUCGGGAUAAGCUUGGGAAACUGGGUCUAAUACCGGAUAGGACCAUGGUUUAGUGUCUCAUGGUGGAAAGAUUAUUGUUUUGGUGCAGGAUGAGCUCGCGGCCUAUCAGCUUGUUGGUGGGGUAAUGGCCUACCAAGGCGUCGACGGGUAGCCGGCCUGAGAAGGUGGACGGCCACAUUGGGACUGAGAUACGGCCCAGACUCCUACGGGAGGCAGCAGUGGGGAAUAUUGCACAAUGGGCGCAAGCCUGAUGCAGCGACGCCGCGUGGGGGAUGACGGCCUUCGGGUUGUAAACUCCUUUCGUUAGGGACGAAGCCGCACCUUUUUUUGGGUGUGGUGACGGUACCUUUGUUAAGAAGCACCGGCUAACUACGUGCCAGCAGCCGCGGUAAUACGUAGGGUGCGAGCGUUGUCCGGAAUUACUGGGCGUAAAGAGCUCGUAGGUGGUUUGUUGCGUCGUCUGUGAAAUUCCGGGGCUUAACUUCGGGGUGGCAGGUGAUACGGGCAUAACUAGAGUGCUGUAGGGGAGACUGGAAUUCCUGGUGUAGCGGUGGAAUGCGCAGAUAUCAGGAGGAACACCGAUGGCGAAGGCAGGUCUCUGGGCAGUAACUGACGCUGAGGAGCGAAAGCAUGGGGAGCGAACAGGAUUAGAUACCCUGGUAGUCCAUGCUGUAAACGGUGGGCGUUAGGUGUGGGGACCGGUUUGGUUUCUGUGCCGUAGCUAACGCAUUAAGCGCCCCGCCUGGGGAGUACGGCCGCAAGGCUAAAACUCAAAGGAAUUGACGGGGGCCCGCACAAGCGGCGGAGCAUGUGGAUUAAUUCGAUGCAACGCGAAGAACCUUACCUGGGUUUGACAUGCACCAGACGGUUGUAGAGAUACGUACCUCCCUUUGUGGUUGGUGUGCAGGUGGUGCAUGGUUGUCGUCAGCUCGUGUCGUGAGAUGUUGGGUUAAGUCCCGCAACGAGCGCAACCCUUGUCUUAUGUUGCCAGCACGUUUGGGUGGGGACUCAUGAGAGACUGCCGGGGUUAACUCGGAGGAAGGUGGGGAUGACGUCAAAUCAUCAUGCCCUUUAUGCCCAGGGCUUCACACAUGCUACGAUGGUUAGUACGACGCGCAGCGAACCUGUGAGGGUGAGCGAAUCGCUGAAAGCUAAUCUCGGUUUCGGAUUGGGGUUCUGCGAACUCGACCCCGUGAAAGU
rnacentral:rRNA from 1 species